UACGGAGGGUGCGAGCGUUGUCCGGAAUCACUGGGCGUAAAGGGCGCGUAGGCGGCAGGCCAAGCGUGCGGUGAAAGCCCGGGGCUCAACCCCGGAACUGCCUUUAAGACCGCAUCGCUUGAAUCCAGGAGAGGUGAGUGGAAUUCCGAGUGUAGAGGUGAAAUUCGUAGAUAUUCGGAAGAACACCAGUGGCGAAGGCGGCUCACUGGCCUGGUAUUGACGCUGAGGUGCGAAAGCGUGGGGAGCAAACAGG
rnacentral:rRNA from 1 species